CAGAACUACUUCAUUUUUCCAACUUUUGAUCCUGGGGCCAACCUUUCUCAGGGAUAAAACUUUUUUUGUUGGCAGAGAAAAUGCUCCUUCAUCAGUGGAAAGUUUUUGUUUUUUUUCCCUGACGAACGCCAGUCCGAAAAGGUGGAAAAGUCACCUCCAAAGCAACACGGAGACGUCAGAGCAUCAGCUGAAGACAUGGAUUGGCACGACCCUACUGGAUACGACACUCCCUAGGGGCGUGUCAUGUACUGUUUUGUUAUAUUACAGCUUAAUUUUUUCUCUUUUGUAGUUUAUGCCGUACUUAUAAAUAUUUCUUCAAUAUUCAAUUCUAGUUUAUAUGUAAACUUGCUAUGUAUGUAUGCAGCAUCUAGUCGCAGUACGCACUGUACAUGUUUUGUGCUUUGUUUUUAAAUAAAAAGUGUGUAUGCAAUA